rnacentral:lncRNA from 1 species
UGAAAGCCUUCUCCAUGAAGACAAGCUUUUAUCUAAAGUGCAGAGAUCAGACUGUGGGAAGCCCAGCCCCGGUGGAUACAUCUACAUCAUAGCUCUCGUAUCUAUGACUCAGGAUGCAUCAUGGACCUGGGUGUGGAAAGAUGAUAAGAGCCAGAAAACCAGGAAGUCUGCUGUGAAAAUCCACUCAUAGAAAUUGUCGCAAGGUCUGAACAAUGGCAAUAUCAGUAGACAAGCUAAUGAAGGAAGUGGAAAAUCCUUACCAGGUCACACCCCUGAGCAAGGAGCUACAGAUUCUGGUGAAGACCUGGCAGCCUUGGAUCUUAG